rnacentral:rRNA from 1 species
UACGUAGGGGGCUAGCGUUGUCGUCGAAUUACUGGGCGUAAAGGGCUUGUAGGUGGCCAACUAAGUCAGACGUGAAAUCCCUCGGCUUAACCGGGGAACUGCGUCUGAUACUGGAUGGCUAGAGUGUGGGAGAGGGAUGCGGAAUUCCAGGUGCAGCGGUGAAAUGCGCAGAUAUCAGGAGGAACACCAGCGGCGAAGGCGGCGCUCUGGGCUGGAACUGACGCUGAGGAGCGAAAGCGUGGGGAGCAAACAGG